rnacentral:rRNA from 1 species
UACGAAGGGGGCUAGCGUUGUUCGGAAUCACUGGGCGUAAAGGGCUCGUAGGCGGCCAACUAAGUCAGACGUGAAAUCCCUCGGCUUAACCGGGGGAACGGCAUCUGAUACUGGAUGGCUUGAAUCCGGGAGAGGGAUGCGGAAUUCCAGGUGUAGCGGUGAAAUGCGUAGAUAUCUGGAGGAACACCGGUGGCGAAGGCGGCAUCCUGGACCGGCAUUGACGCUGAGGAGCGAAAGCCAGGGGAGCAAACGGG